GAUGAACGCUGGCGGCGUGCCUAAUACAUGCAAGUCGAGCGAAUGGAUUAAGAGCUUGCUCUUAUGAAGUUAGCGGCGGACGGGUGAGUAACACGUGGGUAACCUGCCCAUAAGACUGGGAUAACUCCGGGAAACCGGGGCUAAUACCGGAUAACAUUUUGAACCGCAUGGUUCGAAAUUGAAAGUCGGCUUCGGCCGUCACUUAUGGAUGGACCCGCGUCGCAUUAGCUAGUUGGUGAGGUAACGGCUCACCAAGGCAACGAUGCGUAGCCGAACUGAGAGGGUGAUCGGCCACACUGGGACUGAGACACGGCCCAGACUCCUACGGGAGGCAGCAGUAGGGAAUCUUCCGCAAUGGACGAAAGUCUGACGGAGCAACGCCGCGUGAGUGAUGAAGGCUUUCGGGUCGUAAAACUCUGUUGUUAGGGAAGAACAAGUGCUAGUUGAAUAAGCUGGCACCUUGACGGUACCUAACCAGAAAGCCACGGCUAACUACGUGCCAGCCGCCGCCGUAA
rnacentral:rRNA from 1 species